rnacentral:ncRNA from 1 species
AUCUUCGGGGCGAGGUGAAAUUCCUCACCGGCAGUUACAGUCUGCGAGCCGCAUAGCGGUUGAUUUGGUGAAAUUCCAAAACCGACAGUAUAGUCUGGAUGGAAGAAGAG